AUGAAGAGAUGUGAUGAUCUAAUGAACCAGAAGCAAUCCAUUGGAGCUGUCUUACACAAGGGAACAAAGAAAUCCAAUAUAGAUGAUGUGGCUGCUGUUGCUUUGAAGAAUGCUCCUCAGAAUUUAAAGUUGGUUUCUUCGACUAUCCAGAAACAUAUUGUGAAAGCUUGUGCGAUAGAAACAGUGAAAGCAAUCAUAGAAGAUCUGGGAGAUGAAUACUUUGCUAUAUUGGUUGAUGAAUCUCGUGAUGAGAAACAAGCAAAAAGAGUCCAAACGGCACUGCAGAAUGGAGAACUGGAAACUGGUAGAGGUUUGAAUCAAGAACUUGGACUUAAACGAGCUGGGGAUACUCGUUGGGGUUCUCAUUUCAGCUCUCUCUUGAAUAUGAUUGUUAUGUUCCCCUCGGUAAUUGAAGUUGUAGAUGAUAAUGCACAAAACGCCAGCAAAGCUCUCGAUAGGAUUAAAGCAAAGGGUGUUCUGGACGCUAUUCAAACAUUUGACUUUGUUCUCAUGAUGCACUUGAUGAAGGCUGACAUUGUGAAUGCCGUGUCGUAUCUUCACACAACCAAAAGAAGGCUACAGGAAAUGAGAAACCAAGGUUGGGAAGGUAUGAUUAAAAAGGUUACUGAUUUUUGCAUUGAACAAGAUAUUGAACUUUCUGAUAUGGAUGCUAUGCAUAUUCCCCGAGGAUCGAAAUCAAAGCGUAAGGUUCAGACUGAUGGCAUAUCAAAUAAGAAUUACUACCAAAGUGUGAUGUACGCCAUUAUUGAUAUGUUACGUGUAGAGAUUGAUGACCGCUUUAGUGAAAGCAGCACAACCUUGCUUCUUGGGAUGGCUUCUUUGGAUCCUUCUGAUUUGUUUCUAAUUUCGACAAAGAAAAAGUGUUAG
rnacentral:rRNA from 1 species